GCCAAGCUUUCUUUCUUAAAUAUAACUGCUGGUCUGCCAAUUUACAUCAUGUCUGCAACUAUACAAUGUCCCGUUUGUACUCCUCGACUGACACACUUAACAGCUCUUAAGUGAAACAUCCGGCGAGCCCGAUAUUCUGCCGCUCCGCCAAAGUGAGUUAAAUGGUCUGUCCUGUGAAGUGUGGCGAUUACAGCAAGGAGGAACAGAGGGUCAGUAAAGAAAGAGAACCUAUCAUUGGUGAAAAUACGAAAAGAAUCUAGCAACAUUCGGGUAAGGAAAAGUGUCUACAAGUACAAGUCUCUCUGUGUAAACGUCUCAAGACUACUGCAAGCAUAAUUCGCGGAUAUCCAGAAGUACAAAGGCCUGGCUUCUGACAUGGAAGCCAUGUAACUCGGCGCUUUCACGACCACGUGAGAGCCAUGAACGAAAGUUUAGAGUACCACUAUGAAAAAUCUCAGCACCAAGACCAAUAAAAAGUAUGUCAGGCUUUUUUUCCCCAA